rnacentral:rRNA from 1 species
UACGUAGGGGGCGAGCGUUGUCCGGAAUUACUGGGCGUAAAGCGCGCGCAGGUGGCGCGACAAGUCUGACGUGAAAGUCCCCGGCUUAACCGGGAGGGGUCGUUGGAAACUGUCGUGCUGGAGGGCGGAAGAGGAGCAUGGAAUUCCCGGUGUAGUGGUGAAAUGCGUAGAGAUCGGGAGGAACACCAGUGGCGAAGGCGGUGCUCUGGUCCGCACCUGACGCUGAGGCGCGAAAGCGUGGGGAG